rnacentral:rRNA from 1 species
CAAGACUUGACAUACUGGUGCAUAUCUAAGAGAUUAGAGAAAUUUUAGCAAUAAAACGCCCGAACAGAUGGUGCAUGGUUGUCGUCCGCUCGUGUCGUGAGAUGUUGGGUUAAGUCCCGCAACGAGCGCAACCCUUGCGUUUAGUUACUACAAUUCAGUUUGAGGACUCUAAACGGACAGCCGUAGGUAAUACGGAGGAAGGUGGGGAUGACGUCAAAUCAUCAUGCCUCUUACGUCUUGGGCUACAAGCGUGCUACAAUGGCUAUAACAAAGAGAUACGAAGCAGCAAUGCAGAGUGAACCUGGAAAAGAUAGUCUCAGUUCAGACUGUGGGUUGAAACUCACCCACACGAAGAUGAAGUUGCUAGUAAUCCCGAAUCAGAAUGUCGGGGUGAAUGCGUUCCC